rnacentral:lncRNA from 1 species
GUACUAAUAAAAGAUAAAAUAUGAAACUGUACAAAACAUAGUUUGGUAUAUAUGAGUUAAAAAAUGUAGUUCAGGUAUGUACAACCCAUGAGGCUCACAAAUGACAGUAGAUAAAUGAAACUGUACAACACACGACCAAUGGUUCCAAAAUUCCAGUCUAACAAGACCACCAAAUUCUUCUUCGGGGAGCUUGACCUACACAUUGCAUAUAAAAUCGUCACCUGGGCAAUGGACAAAGCAAGUAUGUCAACCAUGCUUGGAGAAUCACAACAUACUAUUUGGUGCAUUGGACUAUUAUCGCAUAGUUAAGAUACAACAUAAGCAUUAAGAUGGAAUUUCAUAAGAAAUAACACAUAAAUACAAUAAAUAUGAGAAAUACCUGUGGUGACAUAGUCACCAUGUACAACAUUAAUCAGUUUCAAGAAAAAGGGUAAAAUAAUUAAAUUGACCAAAGAUAAAAAUGCAUGUAUACCCAAAACAUUUCUUAAACUUAAGAAAAUAUAUCACAUGCCAACUAUAACGACAAAUAGUGAAUUGUAUUUCACAUGUUGUUGCAGGUAAUCCAUGACAAACAAAAGAAAGCAUAAUCGACGAAGGGAGAAGACAACUUCAUAAAUUGUUGAUUAGGGCCAUCCUUGGAAACUUAACAAUUAACACCAUAGCACCCACAGAAAAUGGAAUAAACAUGCCCUUACAGAUCUGAACAAUCACAUAAGCAAUUUUCAACAGGAAGCCAUUCAGAAUUGACAGCAUAGGGAAGAACAUUGAUAGUGUAUACGAUUGCUGCAGUUUUAUUUUGAUUCAAAAAAUUGUUCUUUUUUAUUUGGGAUCCAGAAUCUGGACAAGCUCACUGAUGGACCAUACACGCAUAAGAUUGUGUUAAGAAUUGAAUUCUCUGACCACAAGAUACACAAAUAUGAAGGAAUUUUAGAGAGGAUAAGAAUAUAAGACUACUACUUGUUGGAGCAGAAGGUGAUGGUUUAGUCGGGUGACUGGUCGUGGGUGAAUAUGCUCCUAGGUUGUCGUAGAUAUAGCUGUAGACAGCGGGGUCGCCGCCUUGAACCACUUGGAGUAGAACGUCGGCUCACUCCCAGGUUCACGUACUGCCAUGGCAGCAGUACUGCCGGUUGAAAUGUGAAGCAAUGCAUUCCUGGUUAGAAAUUUUAAGCUAGAAUAAAUCCCCAAUUAUAUGUUCGUGUGCACUACUACAGAAGACAAUUAUAUGAUCCAAGUAACAAAGUUAAAUAGGAAUAGCCUCGUACCAGUGUUGUCCUAGGGUUCUAGCACCACAGCACUACACCAUGACGCUGUCUGC